rnacentral:rRNA from 1 species
GCCAUCGAAUGAGGCAAGACUACCCGCUGAACUUAAGCAUAUCACUAAGCGGAGGAAAAGAAACUAACCAGGA